rnacentral:rRNA from 1 species
CCUACGGGAGGCUGCAGUGAGGAAUAUUGGUCAAUGGGCGAGAGCCUGAACCAGCAAAGUCGCGUGAAGGAUGACGGCCCUACGGGUUGUAAACUUUUUUUGUCAGGGAGCAAUUGAGUCUACGUGAGUUCUUAGCGCCAGUACCUGACGAACCAGCAUCGGCUAACUCCGUGCCAGCAGCCGCGGUAAUACGGAGGAAGCGAGCGUUAUCCGGCUUUAUUGGGUUUAAAGGGUGCGUGGGCGGAAUAUUAAGUCAGCGGUAAAAACUCGGGGCGAAACCCCGUCGUGCCGUUGAAACUGAGAGUCUUGAGUGGGCGAGAGGUAUGCGGAAUGCGUGGUGUAGCGGUGAAAUGCAUAGAUAUCACGAAGAACACCAGUGGCGAAGGCAGCAUACCGGCGCCCAACUGACGCUGAAGCUCGAAAGCGUGGGGAGCAAACAGGAUUAGAUACCCCGGUAGUC